rnacentral:tRNA from 1 species
UGGGUUGUGGCUCAGCGGUGGAGCGCUUGCCUCUAACAUGCAAAGCCCUGGGUUCAAUCCUCAGCACCACAU